rnacentral:rRNA from 1 species
GAUGAACGCUGGCGGCGUGCCUAAUACAUGCAAGUAGAACGCUGAAGGAGGAGCUUGCUCUUCUGGAUGAGUUGCGAACGGGUGAGUAACGCGUAGGUAACCUGCCUUGUAGCGGGGGAUAACUAUUGGAAACGAUAGCUAAUACCGCAUGACAACAGUUAUUGCAUGAUAACUGUUGAAAAGUGGCAACUGCUCCACUACCAGAUGGACCUGCGUUGUAUUAGCUUGUUGGUGAGGUAACGGCUCACCAAGGCGACGAAACAUAGCCGACAUGAGAGGGGGAUCGGCCACACUGGGAAGGAGACACGCCCCAGUCUCAUUGGGGAGCCGGCCAUAGGGCUACGGGGGACAGGGGCGGAGGUUAUACCAAGCAGGGCCGAGUGAGUAAAGAGCGUUGUCGGGUGGGAAAGCUCUGUUGUCGGGGUGGAAACAGUGUGAGACUGGAACGUUCAGUCUGUGACGGUAACUUACAAGAAAGCACCGGCUAACUACGUG